rnacentral:rRNA from 1 species
GGAAUUACUGGGCGUAAAGGGCGCGUAGGCGGCAAGGCAAGUCAGGUGUGAAAGCCCCGGGCUUAACUCGGGAAUUGCAUUUGAAACUGCUGUGCUUGAGUUCUGGAGGGGGUAGUGGAAUUCCCAGUGUAGCGGUGAAAUGCGUAGAUAUUGGGAGGAACACUUGCGGCGAAGGCGGCUACCUGGACAGAAACUGACGCUGAUGCGCGAAAGCUAGGGGAGCGAACGGGAUUAGAUACCCCGGUAGUCCUAGCUGUAAACGAUGGGCACUUGGUGUUGGGGGUAUUGAGUCCCUCAGUGCCGGAGUUAACACGUUAAGUGCCCCGCCUGGGGAGUACGGUCGCAAGACUGAAACUCAAAGGAAUUGACGGGGGCCCGCACAAGCGGUGGAGCAUGUGGUUCAAUUCGACGCAACGCGAAGAACCUUACCGGGGCUCGAACGGUAACUGCUACCUGUGGAAACGCAGGAUUCUCUUCGGAGACGGUUAUCGAGGUGCUGCAUGGCUGUCGUCAGCUCGUGUCGUGAGAUGUUGGGUUAAGUCCCGCAACGAGCGCAACCCUUGCCCUUAGUUGCUACCAGGUUAAGCUGAGCACCCUAGGGGAACUGUCGGCGAAAAGCCGGAG